AGAAUCAACGCUGGCGGCGUGCCUAACACAUGCAAGUCGAACGAGAAAGUGGAGCAAUCCAUGGGUAAAGUGGCGCACGGGUGAGUAACACGUGACUAACCUACCCUUGAGUGGGGAAUAACUUCGGGAAACCGAGGCUAAUACCGCAUAACACCUACGGGUCAAAGGAGCAAUUCGCUUAAGGAGGGGGUCGCGGCAGAUUAGUUAGUUGGCGGGGUAAUGGCCCACCAAGACGGUGAUCUGUAUCCGGCCUGAGAGGGCGCACGGACACACUGGAACUGAAACACGGUCCAGACUCCUACGGGAGGCAGCAGUGGGGAAUUUUGCGCAAUGGGGGAAACCCUGACGCAGCAACGCCGCGUGGAGGAUGAAGCCCCUUGGGACGUAAACUCCUUUCGAUCGGGACGAUAAUGACGGUACCGGAAGAAGAAGCCCCGGCUAACUUCGUGCCAGCAGCCGC
rnacentral:rRNA from 1 species